rnacentral:rRNA from 1 species
GCGCUUACCUCUUAGGGUUUCCUCUGGGGUAAGUGAUUGCUUCUACACUGUGAAAAUUUGGCUGAGAGACUCAGACUGGUCAUGGGUAGACCUAUCUGGGGUUUGAUCGAUGCCACUCCUGGUUUCAGGAGCACCCUUCAUAAUAAACCUAGAAAUUCAGUAUUAUAAAGUUUAAUAAAAAACAACUUUUAACAAUGGAUCUCUUGGUUCUCGCAUCGAUGAAGAACGUAGCAAAGUGCGAUAACUAGUGUGAAUUGCAUAUUCAGUGAAUCAUCGAGUCUUUGAACGCAGCUUGCACUCUAUGGUUUUUCUAUAGAGUACGCCUGCUUCAGUAUCAUCACAAACCCACACAUAACAUUUGUUUAUGUGGUAAUGGGUCGCAUCGCUGUUUUAUUACAGUGAGCACCUAAAAUGUGUGUGAUUUUCUGUCUGGCUUGCUAGGCAGGAAUAUUACGCUGGUCUCAGGAUCUUUUUCUUUGGUUCGCCCAGGAAGUAAAGUACAAGAGUAUAAUCCAGCAACUUUCAAACUAUGAUCUGAAGUCAGGUGGGAUUACCCGCUGAACUUAAGCAUAUCAAUAAGCGGAGGAAAAGAAAAUAACAAUGAUUUCCCUAGUAACGGCGAGUGAAGAGGAAAGAGCUCAAAGUUGGAACCUGUUUGGCCUAGCUAAACCGGAUUGUAGACUGUAGAAGUGUUUUCCAGGCAAGCCGAGUAAAUAAGUCCUUUGGAACAGGGCAUCAUAGAGGGUGAGAAUCCCGUCUUUGGCUUGAGCAUUUGCCUUUUGUGAUACGCUUUCAAAGAGUCAGGUUGUUUGGGAAUGCAGCCUAAAUUGGGUGGUAAAUCUCACCUAAAGCUAAAUAUUGGCGAGAAACCGAUAGCGAACAAGUACCGUGAGGGAAAGAUGAAAAGAACUUUGAAAAGAGAGUUAAACAGUAUGUGAAAUUGUUAAAAGGGAACCGUUUGGAGCCAGACUGGCUUGUCUGUAAUCAAUCUAGGCUUCGGCCUGGAUGCACUUGCAGGCUAUGCCUGCCAACGACAAUUUGACUUGAGGGAAAAAACUAAGGGAAAUGUGGCCCACUUGUGGGUGUUAUAGUCCCUUAGAAAAUACCUUGGGUUGGAUUGAGGAACGCAGCGAAUGCUUUUUGGCGAGUUUUCCAGGAAGGUUUUCUGAGGUACUACGGUAUCAAGGUUGAUCUUUUUGGUUAUACUUCUAU